rnacentral:rRNA from 1 species
UAGGGAAUCUUCGGCAAUGGACGAAAGUCUGACCGAGCAACGCCGCGUGAGUGAAGAAGGUUUUCGGAUCGUAAAACUCUGUUGUUAGAGAAGAACAAGGACGUUAGUAACUGAACGUCCCCUGACGGUAUCUAACCAGAAAGCCACGGCUAACUACGUGCCAGCAGCCGCGGUAAUACGUAGGUGGCAAGCGUUGUCCGGAUUUAUUGGGCGUAAAGCGAGCGCAGGCGGUUUCUUAAGUCUGAUGUGAAAGCCCCCGGCUCAACCGGGGGGGGUGCAUGGAAACUUGGAGGCUUUAGUUCAGAAGGGGGGAGUGGAAUUCCAUGUUUAGCGGUGAAAUGCGUUGAUAUAUGGAGGAAAACCAGUGGCGAAGGCGGCCCUCUGGUUUGUUACUGACGCUGAGGCUCGAAAGCGUGGGGAGCAAACAGG